UACGUAGGGCGCAAGCGUUGUCCGGAAUUAUUGGGCGUAAAGAGCUCGUAGGCGGUCUGUUACGUCCGCUGUGAAAACCCAGGGCUUAACCCUGGGCUUGCAGUGGAUACGGGUAGACUAGAGGCAGGUAGGGGAGAAUGGAAUUCCCGGUGUAGCGGUGAAAUGCGCAGAUAUCGGGAGGAACACCGGUGGCGAAGGCGGUUCUCUGGGCCUGACCUGACGCUGAGGAGCGAAAGCGUGGGGAGCGAAUGGG
rnacentral:rRNA from 1 species